CAACACACCUGUUAGCCAACACACAUCAGCUAAUCACCUCUCCAGGAUAUCUACCCUGGCGUUUCUCCCACUCAUCACCAAACUGUUGUUUCUGCCCUUGGUGGAUCCCUGCCUACCAGCCUGCCUGUCUGCUCACCUGUCUGCAUGUUCAUUCUCCCUCGCUACCUCCCAUCAGCCACCACGCCGCCUUGCCAUCUCCAUCCCGCCUGUCUCCUUCAGCCAUCCCCAGUCAUCUGUUAAACAUCAUCCGCCUCUGAGUCUGUGUUCUGCACUUGGGUCCACUAGUAAACUAGUUUUGACAUUUAUCAACUUAGAGUACUGUAAUGUAUUAAAUGUAUAUAGGUUUUGAAGGUCAUUUACUUAAUUUUCUUGUUAUUUAGAUUUGUUCUUUAUUUGUUUCCUACCUCUUCAGACUGUUUCUUGUACUGCUGUACCCUAUGAAUUUCUCUGAUUGUGAUCAAUAACGUAUUAUCUUUUUAAAAAUAUUUUAUUUAUAUAUAUAUAUAUAUAUAUAUAUAUAUAUUAUAUAUUAUAUGUUGAAUCAGAAGAUGUGGUAGAGAGACAAACAAGUAUCAACCACAUUGAAACUGGCGGCUCAAAGAGUUUCUAAUGGCAGCUAAAUCAAUGCAUUAUUUUUUUUUUUUAGUUCAACACUACCGGGCUGUAAGCCUUCAACAGCCUGACCUUUUUCUCUCAGGAUACUGUCAACAAAAUAACAUGUUCAUCAACAGGCUAGCUUUACAUAUCACAGAGAAUAUUAUUUGAUUAAAGUAAAUAAAUGCUCUAUUUAAGCAUU